UACGUAGGGUGCAAGCGUUGUCCGGAAUUAUUGGGCGUAAAGAGCUUGUAGGCGGUUUGUCGCGUCUGCUGUGAAAUUUCGGGGCUCAACCCCGAACUUGCAGUGGGUACGGGCAGACUAGAGUGUGGUAGGGGAGACUGGAAUUCCUGGUGUAGCGGUGAAAUGCGCAGAUAUCAGGAGGAACACCCGUGGCGAAGGCGGCUCUCUGGGACGGUACUGACGCUGAGACGCGAAAGCGUGGGGAGCGAACAGG
rnacentral:rRNA from 1 species